rnacentral:rRNA from 1 species
AUACGGAGGAUCCGAGCGUUAUCCGGAUUUAUUGGGUUUAAAGGGUGCGCAGGCGGCCAUUUAAGUCAGCGGUUAAAUCGUGGGGCUCAACCCCAUUCUGCCGUUGAUACUGGGUGGCUUGAUUGCGGUCGAGGUUGGCGGAAUUCGUUGUGUAGCGGUGAAAUGCAUAGAUAUGACGAAGAACACCGAUUGCGUAGGCAGCUGACGAGACCGCAAAUGACGCUCAUGCACGAAAGUGCGGGGAUCGAACAGGAUUAGAUACCCUGGUAGUCCACACAGUAAACGAUGAAUACUCGCUUUUUGCGAUAUACAGUAAGCGGCCAAGCGAAAGCGUUAAGUAUUCCACCUGGGGAGUACGCCGGCAACGGUGAAACUCAAAGGAAUUGACGGGG